AAAUUGAAGAGUUUGAUCAUGGCUCAGAUUGAACGCUGGCGGCAGGCCUAACACAUGCAAGUCGAACGGUAACAGGAAGCAGCUUGCUGCUUCGCUGACGAGUGGCGGACGGGUGAGUAAUGUCUGGGAAACUGCCUGAUGGAGGGGGAUAACUACUGGAAACGGUAGCUAAUACCGCAUAACGUCGCAAGACCAAAGAGGGGGACCUUCGGGCCUCUUGCCAUCGGAUGUGCCCAGAUGGGAU
rnacentral:rRNA from 1 species